UACGGAGGGUGCAAGCGUUAUCCGGAUUUAUUGGGUUUAAAGGGUCCCGUAGGCGGAAAAUUAAGUCAGAGGUGAAAUCCUGCAGCUCAACUGUAGAAUUGCCUUUGAUACUGGUUUUCUUGAAUAUGUACGAAGUGGGCGGAAUAUGACAUGUAGCGGUGAAAUGCUUAGAUAUGUCAUAGAACACCGAUUGCGAAGGCAGCUCACUAGUCCAUUAUUGACGCUGAGGGACGAAAGCGUGGGGAGCGAACAGGAUUAGAUACCCGGGUA
rnacentral:rRNA from 1 species